UAGGGGACAAGAUUGGUCAAAAUGUCAAAGUUAGGUGACAUUUGGUGACUUAAUUGAUUAAAAUAAAACAAAAGAAAAAAGGGCUAUCAUCUUCCUCACUUCUCCACCAAAAUUUUCAGCCAUUCUAGGGUUUUUAGAAGCUCAAAAUAUUAGCAACUUCUCAUCCUUGCAAAUCAAGAGAAACAUGAUUCAGGUCUUGAUCGAGGGAAGAACAAAGUUUGCGAGGAUUAGGCUCGUUCCUAUCAUUUUGUGCCGAGUGCCACCAAAGUAGCUUGUAGAUCACCUCCUACGUCAGGUUUCCAAUGGAUGUUUGGGGCCUCGUAGGCCCAUAUUAAGGAGUUUAGACAAAGUUCGAAAAAAAUUUUAAAUUUGAUCAAGCCUUGAUGAUUUGAAAACAUUGGAAAUGCAUGUGCUUAAGUUUAGUAAUGCGUCGUAUUCCGUCCCGACAUAGGGCACGGGUGUGGGGUGUGACAUGCCCUUUAUGAAUUCUUGUUUGUAAUAAGGUAAAAUUCAUUUAAUAAUAUAGCUAUCAUAAUAUUUUUUCAUUA